rnacentral:tRNA from 1 species
GCCGGGAUAGCUCANUUGGUAGAGC